GCCCCGCGUCCAUCCUGCCACCGCGUACCCUCUGCGUCUCGGCCGGGCUUCCUGCCUCUCGAGCCGCGUCCACGUCCGCCCGUGGACGGGAUGGACGCGGUGGUGCCCUGCGCCCCUCCGGGCUCUCGGUUAUGAGUAUGAUGCUUCCAUAUACGUUUGGAUGUUUUCAGCUAAGUUCACUUCUGAACUUUGGGGUUCCUCCAAGUGUUGACUGAAAUCUGUCCUUGAGCAUCCCCACGCUCAUCUAAUCUACAGUCCAUAAUGGAGCCACUGUACUGGCUUUUGGAAGGAGGAGAUUCUGAAGAUAGGGAGAUUCAGCAAUCAGUCUUUGAAAUUUCCUGUGGUCUGUUCAAUCUAGAUGCAAAGGACAUGGAAAAAUCAAGUGCUCAAGUGGUUUAAAUAUGUUUUGGAUAUUAUUUAUAGAUUACAGAAUUUUUCCAAUUAAAAUCCACAGUUGUCAUGCAGAAGGAGGUUAUGCCCUUCUUGAUCACCAGUUUUAUUUGAAAUGCUUAGCA